ACUUCGACCGAUCUGCUUCACCAAGAGAGUUGCGCCGAACGCUUUGGACAUCGAGGCGAUCUCGAACAAAGUUUCAUUGGUUACUGGUCUUCUGGUGACAAUAUCGGCCACCCCGUAUCCAUUGGCCAUGAGGAUUUUUCCAUCCUUGAUCACCCCUAUCGAUAUCCCAGGAGUCAGGGGACGAUGUGCAAACACCUACAAAGGUGUUAAAGUGCCACCCUCAGAACCCGGGUCUGACGGUCAGCGUGGUAAAGGAUGGUCGGCUGUUGUUUGCUAGGGGAUAUGGUGUUACUGAUGUCUCGACUAACACCCCUGUCACCAACGAAACUCUGUUCCAAAUCGCGUCUGCUUCAAAGGCUUUUGCUGCAACUCUUCUCGUGAAACAAUUGGAGAGACAUUCCAACUUAAGUAUUUACACCAAAGUGAAGGAUUUGAUGGAGCCUGGUUUCGGUUUUUCUACACACAUAAGGACCACUAAUGCUGACUUGCGAGAUCUAAUGGCCCAUACUCUCGCCCUCCCUAGCAACAGCUACCUGAGAUUUGAUUCUAACUUGACACGCGAAAACCUUCAGAGGCGGAUGCCUUACAUUGAGUCGGUACACCCAUUCCGGACAAGUUUUGUCUAUAGUAACCUGAACUACGCCUUAGUUACCUAUAUAUCGGAGAAGCUUGGCGGAAAAAGUUGGGAAGACUUGAUACAUGAAGAACUUUUCCAGCCGCUAGGAAUGGACAGUUCCACAUUUGCACUACUCCAGACUUUUCCAAGGUAGCUACUGGAUACACAAAUGGUCCAGGAUUCCGACACGUCCCAGUAUCGCAUGCACUGACCCGCAAGUGGGCGAUAUGGGCAGGGUCUAAUAGUGUCUUGACUAAUGGAAUUGACUACGCUAAGUGGAUGAAUUUUCACCUCAACGAUGGCAAAGACAAAUCAGGACUUCCUUUGUUAAACGCAAAGUCGUUUGCAUACCUCCAUGCGCCACAUAAUCUGAUCACAUCGACGGGAAGGUACUUCCGGCAACCGCUGGUUCCGGUGACCACUGCUGAUACAAGUUACGCGUUUGGCUGGAAGAACGGUUACUAUAGAGGUAAUCGAAUUCUACGUCAUACCGGCACUACCUUUGGUUACAGUUCAAUGGUGACCCUUUUCCCAGAUCUUAACCUCGGGGUAUUUACUUCAAUGACUGGGCAGGAUGAACAUUACAUCUUAAGACACCUGCUGCACAAUUUUCUCUCAGAUAAUUUGCUAGGUGUAACACCAUGGCUUAACGCAACAACAAUGUGCAGUUUUCCAAAUCCCUGGUACCCCUCUAUUUCUUAUUCCCACUACGUCAUCAUAGACCGGACUGUCUCAGCAUCGCGCCCUCUAUCGGAGUACGUUGGUAUUUAUCAUAAUGACGCUUAUGGAGAAGUUCGUGUCACAAUGGAAGGGAAUGACCAUCUAGUAUUAAACUACGGAGUCGCUUCCUGGAAACUUUGGCCAAAACACAGUCACGACCAGUUUCAAGGAGAGGGACAAGGGAUGCUGUUCGAAACACUUGACAUUCAUCAAAUCAAGUUCCAUUCUAGUCACUCAAAAAUCAUUUCUGUGGAAAUUAUUACCUUCCAGUCUAAUGCGCCACCGAUUUUUACAAAGAUGUCCUCCAGUCAACCUAUCAGCUCGGUGCUAGGAUAACAACGCUAGCAUAUAUUAUGUGUUCUUUCGUAUCAACCAUGUUUUCGGAAAUAUUCGAUUUUUGUUUUUAAAAAAAAUUAUGGAUGAAUUUCUUUCAUACGAUUGCGCGCUAUAUAUUGCAUAUAUAUAAAAAGAAAAUAUACGG
rnacentral:misc_RNA from 1 species